rnacentral:rRNA from 1 species
AACGUAGGGGGCUAGCGUUGUCCGGAUUUAUUGGGCGUAAAGAGCGCGUAGGCGGCCUGACAGGUCUGCUGUGAAAACUCGAGGCUCAACCUCGAGAUGUCGGCGGAAACCGUCUGGCUAGAGUCCGGAAGAGGAGAGUGGAAUUCCUGGUGUAGCGGUGAAAUGCGCAGAUAUCAGGAAGAACACCUAUGGCGAAGGCAGCUCUCUGGGACGGUACUGACGCUGAUGCGCGAAAGCGUGGGGAGCAAACGGG